ACGGCCACAUCAAGUUGAAACUCCGGUUUCCAUACAAUCACCGAAGUUAAGCAAUGCCGAGCUUGGUCAGUACCUAGAUCGGCGACCAUUUGAGAAUACCAAGUGUUGUAAG